GCAAUGGUGGUUCAAUGGUAGAAUGCUCACCUUCCAUGCUGGAGACCUGGGUUUGACUCCUGACCAAUGCA
rnacentral:tRNA from 1 species